GACGAACGCUGGCGGCGUGCUUAACACAUGCAAGUCGAGCGGUAAGGCCCUUUCGGGGGUACGACGAGCGGCGAACGGGUGAGUAACACGUGGGUGACCUGCCCUCAGCUCUGGGAUAAGCCUGGGAAACCGGGUCGUAAUAACUGGAUAUGACUCCAUGACGCAUGUUGUGGGGUGGAAAGCCUUGUGCGGCUGAGGAUGGGCCCGCGGCCUAUCAGCUUGUUGGUGGGU
rnacentral:rRNA from 1 species